AACGUCACGCAUUGGUGACGUCUGGUGGGGACCGGGUUUUGGGGUUUCUCACCAGUUCCGGGUCCCCGCAGGGGGGUCCCGGUUCUCUCCGUUCCUUUGAGUAUGUUGUGGGGAGUGGAGCUCGGAUAGUUCCUAGAGUCUAGGCAAGAAAAGCAGCACUGCAGGUACAGAGCCUCCUCUUCCCGCAAAAUGGCGGCAGCUCUGCCGUCUUCCAGAACCUUCCCCAAUCUGCGCAUGCGCCAAGACUCCCCGGCUUUGGAAAUAACCUCACUGGUUUCGCGGCAACCGUCCAAAGUACAGGUUCUCAUUGGCUAAAGUCCUAAGUAUGGGUGGAGCAAACUCAAAUGCGUCUUAGCAACCACCGAGUUCCCAUUGAUUGGCUAACCUCAGAGACUCCAGAAAAUGGAAGCGUCCUUUGGUAGCCGCCCAUCACUCUCUCAUUGGUUAAAUGACUUGCGGAGGGCGGGGAAAACGGGACUGAAAACGGGAGUGAAGAAGCCACCAACCCCACUCCUGGUGCUCGCGUAGACUAGACCAGUGCGAUGGGCGGAGCCAACGAGGAGGCACAAUUUACAUCCUUGGCCGUCCCUACUCGGAUUUGCUGAAGGAGUCACGUCGGUCGUUAAGGUUAAGCUUUGUAGAGAACAGCGGCGUUUGUUUAACGUCCGGGGAUGCUGAACUCGAAAUCCCCGUUCUGAGCCGGCUACCUAAACAACCUUCCCGACCACCUCUCCUGACCUCGGUGCUUGGGACCAGGGAAAAGCAGAUCUUGCCACAGACUUGUCUUGGCCCACACUCUGCCCUAUCGUCAUGGCCUGCUCCCACAGGUCAUAACUUCCGUUCAAAUCAGUACCCCCACAUUUCCCACUGCAAGGGUAAAUUUGAAAGUUUCUCAGGUGACUCCUUGGAUGUAGCAGUACUGAGUCCUCUAACCGGAAAGAAGGAACUGAUGUCCACCCUCACUUUCCAGGGGCCUCCAGGAGCCCCUAGACACUUCUGUGGUCUACUGUAGCUACCAAAAAUGUAGCUGGUUAUAACAUGGGGAGAGCCAGAGUCGGAGGACCUGACUUCCAAUUCUGACUUGGAUACUAAUAUCACAUCAUUGUACCCAUUUCAAACUCCCCCUCUGUAAAAUGGAAAAUUGGACUAGAUGAUCUCUUAGGACUUCAAACUGUAACCCUGUGGUUUUAUUCAAAAAAAACAGGUAGCUUCUUGCUGGAGAUUCCUGGAUGGAUUCCAGUCUUCCCAAGAGAAGAAAAUAGCUGAUGCAAAUACAGAAAAAGAAGAGGACUAAAGAGUACCACUUCUUUCCAGAGAGAGUGGUUCUUUACCUCAGGGUCACGGUCCUUCUCCCUACAGGCUCGGACCUCAUUGUACAGCUUGGAGGAAGAGAUGGGAGCCAGAAAGGAAGUGUACUCCCCGGGGAUGCUCACACCAUCAUCUGCACAGCAGGAGAGUCAAAUUAGUUCCAGAGGGAGGGAAAUGCAUACAGCUUUAUCCGCCGGUCGGCCUGCUUGGCUGCCCGCAGGGAAGCGUUCACCAGGGGUCCCCGUCCUGCUCCCAGCACCAUCAGUACCCUAAGAAAGAAAGGGAAGAGUCAAGCAGACUUGGCAUAUACAGAUAUAGGAGGUAAGAGAAGCCACACCCAUCCCAGGAUUCUCAUGGACUCACCCACUGCAAUCCUCUUACUAUAGUCACACAAAGUCCGGAAGUUGUGCCACCUGUUCAGUCAAAUACAGAAAAGUACAGUAAACUAGAUAUGGCCGACCAAUCACCACAGCUCAAGGAGACCUCCCUACAGGUUGCACCCUGUACUUCCCCUCACCCUAUCCCUUGCACCCUGGUACAGCAGCAAAGGGAGACAUACCACAUCCACGUUUUCUCCUCCCCACUGUACUCCUCUGUGUGUGUAGUUGGUGCAUUCUCAAUUAUAUCAUCUCUCAGGUCCUCUGGUGCCACCAAGGGUACCCGCAUCCAGAACUGCACAUGAACAGUCACCCUUUUAGAACUCUCUUUUGAACUCAUUGGGUCCAGAAAGUUUCCCUCAAUAAAAAAAACUUCAUCCA
rnacentral:lncRNA from 1 species